GCAGUCUAACGCAGUCAAAAGACUGAGUGGCGCACGUCCGAGUAACACGUAACUGACCUACCCCCAAGUCGCGGAUAACUGGCCGAAAGGUCAGCUAAUACGUGAUGUGAUGUCCCCUUUCUGGGGGGCCAUUAAAGGUUUACUGCUUGGGGAUGGGGUUGCGUUCCAUCAGCUAGUUGGCGGGGUAAAGGCCCACCAAGGCAACGACGGAUAGCCGGCCUGAGAGGGUGGCCGGCCACAGGGGCACUGAGACACGGGUCCCACUCCUACGGGAGGCAGCAGUUAGGAAUCUUCCACAAUGGGCGAAAGCCUGAUGGAGCGACGCCGCGUGAGGGAUGAAGGUUUUCGGAUCGUAAACCUCUGAAUCAGGGACGAAAGACGCGUAAGCGGGAUGACGGUACCUGAAUAAUAGCACCGGCUAACUCCGUGCCAACAACCGCGGUAAUACGGAGGGUGCAAGCGUUACCCGGAAUCACUGGGCGUAAAGGGCGUGUAGGCGGUUAUUUAAGUCUGGUUUUAAAGACCGGGGCUCAACCCCGGGAGUGGACUGGAUACUGGAUGACUUGACCUCUGGAGAGGGAACUGGAAUUCCUGGUGUAGCGGUGGAAUGCGUAUAUACCAGGAGGAACACCAAUGGCGAAGGCAAGUUCCUGGACAGAAGGUGAAUCUGAGGCGCGAAAGUGUGGGGAGCGAACCGGAUUAGAUACCCGGGUAGUCCACACGCUAAACGAUGUACGUUGGCUAACCGAAGGAUGCUGUGGUCGGCGAAUCUUAU
rnacentral:rRNA from 1 species